rnacentral:rRNA from 1 species
UACGUAGGUGGCGAGCGUUAUCCGGAAUGAUUGGGCGUAAAGGGUGCGCAGGCGGUCCUGCAAGUCUGGAGUGAAACGUAUGAGCUCAACUCAUGCAUGGCUCUGGAAACUGUACGACUUGAGUGCAGUAGAGGUUAGUGGAAUUCCUAGUGUAGCGGUGGAAUGCGUAGAUAUUAGGAGGAACACCAGAGGCGAAGGCGGCUAACUGGACUGUAACUGACGCUGAGGCACGAAAGUGUGGGGAGCAAACAGG